UAGUCCACGCCGUAAACGAUGAAUACUGGUUAUGUGCGAUAAAUUAAUGUACGUGACUGAGCGAAAGCAUUAAGUAUUCCACCUGGGGAGUACGUUGGCAACAAUGAAACUCAAAGGAAUUGACGGGGGCCCGCACAAGCGGAGGAACAUGUGGUUUAAUUCGAUGAUACGCGAGGAACCUUACCUGGGCUUAAAUGCAGCCGGACAUUACGAGAGAUUGUAAUUUUCUUCGGAACUGGCUACAAGGUGCUGCAUGGCUGUCGUCAGCUCGUGCCGUGAGGUGUCGGGUUAAGUCCCAUAACGAGCGCAACCCCUAUCGUUAGUUGCUAGCAGGUAAUGCUGAGGACUCUAGCGAGACUGCCGGUGUAAACCGAGAGGAAGGGUGGGGAUGACGUUCAAGUCAGCACGGGCCCUUACGGUCCAGGGGCUACACACGUGUUACAAUGGCCGAGACAAAGGGGCA
rnacentral:rRNA from 1 species